UACGAAGGGGGCAAGCGUUGUUCGGAAUUACUGGGCGUAAAGGGCGCGCAGGCGCCAAUCAAGUCAGAUGUGAAAGCCCCGGGCUCAACCUGGGAAUUGCAUUUGGGACUGCUUGGCUAGAGAUCGGGAGAGGAGAGUGGAAUUCCCAGUGUAGAGGUGAAAUUCGUAGAUAUUGGGAAGAACACCGGUGGCGAAGGCGGCUCUCUGGACCGAUACUGACGCUGAGGCGCGAAAGCGUGGGGAGCAAACAGG
rnacentral:rRNA from 1 species